rnacentral:rRNA from 1 species
GAUGAACGCUGGCGGCGUGCCUAAUACAUGCAAGUCGAGCGAACGGACGAGAAGCUUGCUUCUCUGAUGUUAGCGGCGGACGGGUGAGUAACACGUGGAUAACCUACCUAUAAGACUGGGAUAACUUCGGGAAACCGUAGCUAAUACCGGAUAAUAUUUUGAACCGCAUGGUUCAAAAGUGAAAGACGGUCUUGCUGUCACUUAUAGAUGGAUCCGCGCUGCAUUAGCUAGUUGGUAAGGUAACGGCUUACCAAGGCAACGAUGCAUAGCCGACCUGAGAGGGUGAUCGGCCACACUGGAACUGAGACACGGUCCAGACUCCUACGGGAGGCAGCAGUAGGGAAUCUUUCGCAAUGGGCGAAAGCCUGACGGAGCAACGCCGCGUGAGUGAUGAAGGUCUUCGGAUCGUAAAACUCUGUUAUUAGGGAAGAACAUAUGUGUAAGUAACUGUGCACAUCUUGACGGUACCUAAUCAGAAAGCCACGGCUAACUACGUG